rnacentral:rRNA from 1 species
UACGUAGGGCGCAAGCGUUGUCCGAAAUUAUUGGGCGUAAAGAGCUCGUAGGCGGCCAGUUGCGUCCGCUGUGAAAUCCCGGGGCUUAACCCCGGGCGUGCAGUGGAUACGGGCUGGCUAGAGGCAGGCAGGGGAGAACGGAAUUCCCGGUGUAGCGGUGAAAUGCGCAGAUAUCGGGAGGAACACCGGUGGCGAAGGCGGUUCUCUGGGCCUGUACUGACGCUGAGGAGCGAAAGCGUGGGGAGCAAACAGG